rnacentral:rRNA from 1 species
AUUGAACGCUGGCGGCAUGCUUUACACAUGCAAGUCGAACGGUAACAGGCCGCAAGGUGCUGACGAGUGGCGAACGGGUGAGUAAUGCAUCGGAACGUGCCCAGUCGUGGGGGGUAACGCAGCGAAAGCUGUGCUAAUACCGCAUACGAUCUAUGGAUGAAAGCGGGGGACCGUAAGGCCUCGCGCGAUUGGAGCGGCCGAUGUCAGAUUAGGUAGUUGGGGGGGUAAAGGCCUACCAAGCCGACGAUCUGUAGCUGGUCUGAGAGGACGACCAGCCACACUGGGACUGAGACACGACCCAGACGCCUACGGGAGGCAUCAGUGGGGAAUUUUGGACAAUGGGCGCAAGCCUGAUCCAGCAAUGCCGCGUGCAGGAAGAAGGCCUUCGGGUUGUAAACUGCUUUUGUACGGAGCGAAAAGGUCCUUUCUAAUACAAGGGGCUCAUGACGGUACCGUAAGAAUAAGCACCGGCUAACUACGUGCCAGCCGCCGCCGUAACAC